rnacentral:rRNA from 1 species
GAUGAACGCUGGCGGCGUGCCUAAUACAUGCAAGUCGAGCGAACGGACGCGACGCUUGCUUCUCUGAUGUUAGCGGCGGACGGGUGAGUAACACGUGGAUCACCUACCUAUAAGACUGGGAUAACUUCGGGACACCGUAGCUAAUCCCGGAUAAUAUCUUGAACCGCAUGGUUCAAUAGUGAAAGACGGUCUUGCUGUCACUUAUAGAUGGAUCCGCGCUGCAUUAGCUAGUUGGUAAGGUAACGGCCUACCAAGGCAACGAUGCAUAGCCGACCGGAGAGGGUGAUCGGCGACACUGGAAGUGAGACGCGGUCCAGACGCCUGCGGGAAGGAGCAGUAGGCAAUCGUCCGCAAUAGGCGAGAGCCUGACGGAGCAACGCCGAGUGAGAGAUGAAGGUCUUCGGAUCGUAAAACUCUGUUAUGAGGUAAGAACAGAUGUGUAAGGAACUGUGCAGAGCGUGACGGUAACUAAUCAGAAAGCAACGGCUAACUACGUG